AACGUAGGAGACAAACGUUAUCCGGAGUUACUGGGCGUAAAGGGCGUGUAGGUGGUUUCGUAAGUCUGGCGUGAAAUUUUUCGGCUUAACCGGGAAAGGUCGUCGGAUACUGCGGAGCUAGAGGACGGUAGAGGCGUGUGGAAUUCCGGGUGUAGUGGUGAAAUGCGUAGAGAUCCGGAGGAACACCAGUGGCGAAGGCGACACGCUGGGCCGUACCUGACACUGAUGCGCGACAGCAUGGGGGAGCAAACAGG
rnacentral:rRNA from 1 species